rnacentral:lncRNA from 1 species
UUGGAUGAUUUGGAGAAGAUUGUGAAUCCUAAUGUGGCGAUGGCAAUGCCGACGAGGACGAAGACGAGUCUCUGUUCUCUGAGCAUGUAACGGAUCGGACGAAUCGCUACGAACCAUGGCUUUAUCGGCUUUGGAUAAUAAGAUUCCGCUUCUGGUUGCUCUAUCUCGUGUCGCCGGUUUGUCAGCUCAGACGCCAUCUUUCAGAGUUUCUGGAUCCACGAUCGUGAUAAAUGGAAGGAGAAAGUAAUCGUGAUUUUACCGAGUCGAACUAGCCGGAGACUGAGUCGACCUGUAGGACGGGGAGUGAAAACCGAUUUGGGUUUUCGCUUGUAUUUAAGUAGACGAAGGUGCGUUACUGUUUUAGCCUCGUUCUUCUUCUUUUAUUACGAUGAUGCCCCUAUAUUUACUUUGUUUCUCUCUCUCUUUUAGGCGUUUUUCAGAUUUGAAAAGUAAACGAUUCUUCAAAACCGGACGGACAUUGAUUACUAUCUUCGUUCAUUUGUUGACCAAUUACAAUUUUCUCUUUUAUAAAAUGUUGUCUUUACAAAAUUAAAUGACUAGUUUUAUAAAGAAAUAAAUUUAUUUUCAGUUUUGUAUUUAUUACUUGUUGUGAAU